CUACCUGAUAUUUAAUGAGGUUCUGCAUAGUCAGGCCACUCAAAUGGCUGUUGUCUUGCUCUGUGUACACCCCCUGGCCCACCAGAGCCUGCUUCACCCUGCAAAGAGCUGACCUUCUAGGAAGGUACUUGCCCCAGGUCCCAGCUGGUGAUUGUUCUCAUCAAAGGGACGGUGAGGGGCGUGCCCUCUACUGGUUUCCCUGGUAACUAGUGAGCCUGCUGCUGCUGCUAAGUCGCUUCAGUCGUGUCCGACUCUGCGACCCCAUAGACAGCAGCCCACCAGGAUCCCCUAUCCCUGGGAUUCUCCAGGCAAGAUCACUGGAGUGGGUUGCCAUUUCCUUCUCCAGUGCAUGAAAAUGAUAAGUGAAAGUGAAGUCGCUCAGUCGUGUCUGACUCUUAGCAACCCCAGGGACUGCAGCCCACCAGGCUCCUCCGUCCAUGGGAUUUUCCAGGAGCGAAGACUGCCUGCGGUCCUGUCCUGCCCGCCGUCUGCUGCAAGCUCUGGGGUGUCCUCCAGGACCUUGCUUCAGACAGAUGAUGGAGCCACAGAAGAACUAGUGCCACGAAUGGAAAGCUUGUCCCAGAUCAUCCUGAGUCAGUAUUAUUGCCACAGGCUUUUGUGUAUAUGUACAUACCAAAUGAAGCUGGAAAGCUCCAAACUGCCUGCAUCUGUACCUUUACUAGCGGUUUGUUAUUUUGUAGUGAUGCACAGUUUGCUCAAGAAGUAUUUACAUUUUCCUCAUAUAGACUAUCUGCUUUCAGAAGUUGUCCAGUUUAAAUAGCGGGAAUUCAUCCACUGAAGACACACAAUUUGGUUGAAACAUCUGUUUGAUAUUCUGUGCAACCAACUUCAUCUAUUCAUUAUACAAAAAGAACAGAGUCUUAUAAUAAACUUUUUUUUUUUUCUGGUCACGGCAAUCACGCAGCUGCAGGAAACAUGGUUUAUCAUUAGAUAAUCACAUCCUUGGGGAUUGGACGCACCCGACUGUGUCUUAUGCUUUCUAUGU
ensembl:lncRNA